UGAUUUUCAUUACUUCUUACAAAUUUUCAAGAUAUGUUUAAGUACAAGUUUCAUAUUUAUUGUCGCAAUAUCUAAAUCCAAAAUCAUUUCACUCAAACAAAUAUUAAAAAAAUAAAUAAAUAUGUCGCGGUUAAUCAAAUACGUCAUCAUUCUCUAGCAGCUCAUUUUGUUCUGAGGAAUCAAUAUUUACACAACCAAAACUUUCUAUUUCUUUCAAAAUGCCAUCCAGAACAGUCAAUUGCUCCGCUACUCUUUCUUCCAAGCCUUUAGAGGUCUGGAAAAUAGAGGGAUCUCUUGGAGGAAGAGGAGGUGGACUCUGAUCCGGUUUUUCAAACCCUCUUUUAUAAGGAUCUCUACCUGGAAUUAACGACACGGUUCUUUUUGGUACCUCUGGUGGUUCAUGAUCCUCUUGAAAUUCAUUUAAGGAGGUCAAACUAUUCCCAGAAUUACUUUUGGAUUUACUACUAGAGACGCCCAACGAAUUCCUCAAUUUGUGAUUGGAAGGCAUUUUAAUCUUAUCUUCGUUUGAACUUCUCAAUUGAAUAAACAUAAGUUUAUCUGAAUUACUUGAAGGAGCAGUAUAUUCGAACACAUUGAUAGAAUUAAAGGAAAAAGUCAAUAACACGGAAAAUACGAGGAAAUAAAUACCGGAUUUCAAACACAUCAAUAUACCCAUAGUUAACAAAAAUGACAAAUUAUAUAUUCCUGUAAAACUCAAUCAUAAAAUAUAAAUAACUUAAACAACUUCAGAAAUGAAUCAUCUCAAUAUUCUCAGCGAAGCUUUCCUCAACCAUGAAAUGAUAAGUUAACUAUUUUCAAUUUUCUAUUACAAAUUUAAUGGCGGCUUAUUCAGGCGAAGGCAAUUCCAAACCAUCCAGUAAACAGAAUGCAACCGUAUUAAAGGUUUCCUUUCCCAUAAAAUAAUUUAAAUUAUCAAACAUAUAUUUGCUCAUUUUUAUUUCAAACCCAUUUUUGUGGGCUUGUUAAUUUCUCCCAGCAAAAGAAAAAGCUUUUAUAGCACUUUCUAUAACUCAUGGUAUCACAGCACAUACUGGAAUAGGCGCAAAAACAAUACGGAAAAGAUUACAAGUCUUUUCUAAGCACUUUAUUCGAAACAAUACUUUAACACACUUUAAAAUUGAAUCAGGUCUGUAGCCACGAACAAUUCGAUUAUCUUUGGUCAAUAAUACCGAUGCAAUGCCACACUGUAAACCAAGAUGAAUCCUGAGGCAAUCUGUGUUAAUUAAUAUUUUGUCAGAAUAUUAAUUUAACAGUGAAUCUAACUUUUCUAAACUAAUGAUAAUAAAACUCUAUUUAACAUUCCACUUGUAAAACCAUGUAAUAAUUCACCUUCGAAAACAUCUGAUCCAAUUUAACAUUGAUAUUACUUUCUUAAUCUAAAACCAACUGGUAAGUGAGGCUUUUGAGGGGGGCGGCUACCAUCGCCGCAAUCAUCUUGAUGAUGAUGAUGGUGAUGGUGAUGGUGUUGGUGUUGGUGUUGGUGUUGGUGUUGGUGAUGAUGAUGAUGAUGAUGAUGACUAGCCCUAUUGUGAUUCUCAUUAUUUAGAGGCAAUCUCCAAUUGGCAGGUAAAGGUGGUUUUUUAGGCGCGCCAUCCUCAGAAUCUUCUACAUUGCCAUCUGAAACAUUAUCAUAAAGUGAAGGGACACGUAGGGGAGGGGGUGAAACAGUACUGCCUGGCCUCCCACCAAGAUGACCGUCCGUACUAGAAGGCUCUUUAGAUCCAUUUCCAGUGCAUUUUCCAAGGUUGCUACCUGGAAUAGUUUCAUCACACGGUAGGGAUAAGGGAAAAGAAGGGGUUUGUGAUUGAGAACCCCCAGAUGGUCCCUUUUUUACACGGACUUUAGGUGGAAGCGGAGGCGGAAGUGGAGAUGGAGGUGGAGAUGGAGGUGGAAAUGGAGAUGGAGGUGCAGUGGUGGAUUGAGUUUUGGAAAUGAUAGGGGAGCUGAUUCUCAAGCCAUCAACGGUUGGCCCAAGGGUCGGAUGCAGCCGCCCUUCUCCAUAAUCACCAGACCCAAGACAAAAUAGUUUCCUAAAUCCACAGCCACCAGCGCUUCUCAGUCCAAUAAUAGAAAACCCAUAAAGUAGGCUUAAGCGAUCGCCGUUUUCCGACAGUUGGAGAAACACAUUUAAUAUAAUGAAAAAAACAAGUAAAGAUUGCUUUGUACACAUCAAAUUAUUAUAUCUUUCAACACAUAUAGAUUAUCUGGCCUGUUGCUUAAAUUACUGAAAUAACCAUCAAUAAAUUGAAAUUACUUCCUUUUUUAAUAUUUAAAUUAAACAAGACACUCCCGCCUGUAAUGCUAAAAUAAUCCAUUAAAAUAUAUAUGGCGUAUACUUAUUUAAGCAUAAUUUCUAAUCUAAAAAUAUCAUUUCUCGCGUAUAGUGGACAAUAGUGAAACUAGAUUUAGAUGAAUUUUGGAAAAAAAAAAUAAACCAAC
rnacentral:antisense_RNA from 1 species